AUUGAACGCUGGCGGCAGGCCUAACACAUGCAAGUCGAACGAGUGGCGGACGGGUGAGUAAUGUCUGGGAAACUGCCCGAUGGAGGGGGAUAACUACUGGAAACGGUAGCUAAUACCGCCUACCAUCGGAUGUGCCCAGAUGGGAUGAGCUAGUAGGUGGGGUAACGGCUCACCUGGGCGACGAUCCCUACCUGGUCUGAGAGGAUGACAAGCGAUACUGGAACUGAGCGACGGUCCAGAGUCCUACGUGAGGCAGCAUGGGGGAAUAUUGCACAAUGGGCGAAAGCCUGAUGAAGCCAUGCCGCGUGGAGGAAGAAGGCCGUUGGGGUGUAAAGGACUUUCAGCGAGGAGGCGUUACUCGCAGAAGAAGCACCGGCUAACUCCGUGCCAGCAGCCGCGGUAAUUC
rnacentral:rRNA from 1 species